rnacentral:rRNA from 1 species
GCGGCCUAUCAGCUUGUUGGUGAGGUAAUGGCUCACCAAGGCGACGACGGGUAGCCGGCCUGAGAGGGCGACCGGCCACACUGGGACUGAGACACGGCCCAGACUCCUACGGAAGGCAGCAGUGGGGAAUAUUGGGCAAUGGAGGGAACUCUGACCCAGCGACGCCGCGUGCGGGAUGAAGGCCUUCGGGUUGCAAACCGCUUUCAGCAAGGAAGAAGCGAAAGUGACGGUACUUGCAGAAGAAGCACCGGCUAACUAUGUGCCAGCAGCCGCGGUAAUACAUAGGGUGCAAGCGUUGUCCGGAAUUAUUGGGCGUAAAGAGCUCGUAGGUGGUUCGUCACGUCGGAUGUGAAAAUCUGGGGCUUAACCCCAGACCUGCAUUCGAUACGGGCGAGCUAGAGUGUGGUAGGGGAGACUGGAAUUCCU